rnacentral:tRNA from 1 species
GGACUGGUAGCUCAGUUGAACAGACUGAUAUUAUGCUGGAGGCCACAGGUUCAAUCCCUGUCUAGUCCA